UUUUGACAUACGGACGGGCACCAAGACAAAAGGUUACAGGUCUGCUCUUGACUAUAUGCCGAUUUGAGUGUCUUUGGGGAGAAGGGACAGGCCCCCUGUCUUCAAAAUGAGUCACUCUGGACAGUCUGAGAGGGGAGACAGUGAAUCUGAAAUGAGUCUCCCGCAGGAGGAUGAAGAGAGGACCACUGCCACUAAGCGACGUCUCCGCUGGGACUCUGGUGACAGCCACACUGAAUCUAAAAAGAGGUUUAGGAGCUCCACAAGACAGACUAGCGGGGAGAGAUCAGAGUCACCAACACCAACCUGUGUAUCAAUGAAGAGUGAUGACUCAAUGCACCGUGGCAUCAACCUCAGUCAACAACCCCACACACAAUC